rnacentral:ncRNA from 12 species
AUAGUCCAAUCAUAUCGAAGGCUUAUGCUACGGCAUAGGGUGUUGAUGUAGGUACGGUUGGACUUU